CCUGGAAUAGAAAGUUUUGUAAAAAAAAAGGACUAUGCACCGAGGGAUGUUUUCGUUUGUUGCAAAUACCUGCGUUUUGUUCUCUGAGUUCGAUGGAAUCCCUAAUUUUAUUCGAUAGAUACUCUAUGUUGUUUUGUAGAUUGGCCAUUUCUUUCCUGAAAAAAAAACGACCCGUUUCCUUGAAUCAAGCGCUAUUCAAGCUCGCGAUACAAAACGAAUAAAAUAUAUGAAAGAAGAAAAUUACGUCUACUGUAUCAAAGUAUUGAGAAAAUAGCCAUGAGAUCAAUGAAGAUAAUAGAGAAAAAGUAGCAUAUAAAAUAGAGCAAAGUUCUACGAUAGGCACCUUGGAGGGGGUUUCCGAUUGAGCCGACUUCUUUUUCGGUAUUACUUUAACUUUGAGAUCAACUUUAACACGACGCUUCUUGUGCGAAGGCAAGGCAUCAGUCGUGUCAUUGUUCGCAUCGUUAUCAUCUUGGUCGGCGACCCCCCCUGCUAAUACACAACAAAGCUGCGGUCACGCAUAUGAAAAUGCCAAAUUUAUUACGUCUACGUGCGCUUGUCUACACUUUUUGCUCACACACACACACACACAUAGAGAUUUGGUGAAGGUGCAGUUGAAAUUCUACUGUAUACAUAUAGCUAUUGUAUAUUAUAGUUGAUUAUAUACACACAAACAUAUGCAGAUGUUUCAAUUUAAUCGCAGGUAAACAACGUCUGAGUUGGUAAGCUACCGGCGAGUAAUACAUUAUAAGUAGUGCAAAAUUGAGAAAAUUGUAAUAUCAAAAGUUCGCAUUUGAAAGUACAAAUUGAAUGUAUAAUACACGUUGAUAAAGAGAAACAAGGUCGAGCUGUGCUUGAACAGUAGAAAAGCACAACUCGACGCAAGUCGUCGAAAGAGUGUAGUGAAAAUGAAAGAAGUUCGCAAUUCAUGUAUAAGUCUCUGUCUUAGAUAACGCCAAGGAAAUGGUACUUGUGUUUCUGGUCGUUAGCUUCCAAGCGCUGUGUGAGAGAUUGGCAUUCCGCCGUAAGGCGCGAGACGAGCGAGGCCUGUUUGUUCAGGGAAUCUUCGAGACUGGCAACCGUUUUAGCUGGGAAACGCAACAACAAAUCGCUGCUGUUAGCCAAUUUUCACGAAAUUGACUAAUUGCAACAAUAAGUCUUCUAUAUAGACAAUAUACCUAACACAGCCACAUCAACAUCACAAGUGAGAGAGAGAGAGAGGAAGAGAAAAAGCAAUUGCUGUCAUCGCUCGGCUGUCUCACCCUGCUUGUUCUCCAGAUCGAAGAUCAGA